AGUGAACGCUGGCGGUAGGCCUAACACAUGCAGGUCGAACGGCAGCACAGAGGAGCUUGCUCCUUGGGUGGCGAGUGGCGGACGGGUGAGGAAUACAUCGGAAUCUACUCUGUCGUGGGGGAUAACGUAGGGAAACUUACGCUAAUACCGCAUACGACCUACGGGUGAAAGCAGGGGAUCUUCGGACCUUGCGCGAUUGAAUGAGCCGAUGUCGGAUUAGCUAGUUGGCGGGGUAAAGACCCACCAAGGCGACGAUCCGUAGCUGGUCUGAGAGGACGAUCAGCCACACUGGAACUGAGACACGGUGCAGACUCCUACGGGAGGCAGCAGUGGGGAAUAUUGGACAAUGGGCGCAAGCCUGAUCCAGCCAUACCGCGUGGGUGAAGAAGGCCUUCGGGUUGUAAAGCCCUUUUGUUGGGAAAGAAAUCCAUCUGGUUAAUACCCGGGUGGGAUGACGGUACCCAAAGAAUAAGCACCGGCUAACUUCGUGCCAGCCGCCGCGGUAA
rnacentral:rRNA from 1 species